rnacentral:rRNA from 1 species
CAAUAGCGUAUAUUAAAGUUGUUGCAGUUAAAAAGCUCGUAGUUGGAUUUCGGGGCAGCCUGGCUGGUCCGCCGCAAGGAGAGUACUGGUCAGCCGCCCUUCCUCUCGAAAGCCCCGACUGCUCUUCGUUGCAGUGGUCGGGUAGUUCGGGACGUUUACUUUGAAAAAAUUAGAGUGUUCAAGGCAGGCCUACGCCUGAAUACAUUAGCAUGGAAUAAUGGAAGAGGACCUCGGUCCUAUUUUGUUGGUUUCCAGGGCCGAAGUAAUGAUUAAGAGGGACAGUUGGGGGCAUUCGUAUUUAAUUGUCAGAGGUGAAAUUCUCGGAUUUAUGAAAGACGAACAACUGCGAAAGCAUUUGCCAAGGAUGUUUUCAUUAA